rnacentral:lncRNA from 1 species
ACUACUUCUUUCUGUAAAUAUUUUCUGUGGUCUGGGGUUUAUCUUUAACUUUGUAAUGAUGUUUUUGGUUGUAUGCAUGAGUUACAUUUUAAUAUAGCCAUAUUUUUUCAAUCUUUUCAAGGGUGAAUUAACAUAAAAUAUUUUUAGAUGUAUGUAUUGGAGGGGGAAGUUAUCAAAGGAAAUUCUUGCCAAAUGACCUUUUUUUCUCUGUAUCGUAAAAAAAAUCAGUUCUUAAUAGACAGCUGUAGAGUCCCUGAGCUUCCUUCUUUAGCUAACAUAUAUUAAUUGAUUCUACAACAAAGGCCUAGAUCUGGGAGUUGGCCAGGGUGGGGCCAGGGAGGGAAGGGAGGGUAUGAAAUUUCAUAUGUGGAACCCUGCCUUCCUAGAGCUUACCAUCAGAGGACUAAUAUGAGUUAGACUGUAUAGCCUGAUAUACUUCAGUAGCAGCUCAGAGGAAGGAGAGAUGGGGGUAGGACUGAGUAAUUAUCUAUGGACUGGAUUAAUCAAGGAAGAUCUGAUGUCGACUUUCUUGACUUCCCAUAAACUAAGAAUCACAUGGGAGUUCACAUUGCGGCUCAGCGCAAACAAACUUGACUACAGUCCAUAAGGAUGCGGGUUCAAUCUCUGGCAUCGCUCAGUGGGUUAAAGGAUCCAGUGCUGCCGCAAACUGCAGUAUAGGUGGAGGAUGUGGCUGGGAUCUAGUGUUGCUAUGGCUGUGGUUAUGUAGGUUGGUGGCUACAGCUCAGAUUUGACCCCCAGCCUGGGAACUUCCAUAUGCUGCAAAGAAAAACAGAUAAAGAAAUGGAGGCUGAUAUCCAUAAGGUCUCCCUGCUGAAGAUCUCCCAGCUAGUGAGAGGUAGAAUCCACACUAGAACUUUAGGUUGCAGUCAAGUGUGCUGUUUUACCUACCAGUCAAGAAAGCUGAUGUGUCUUCUUUUGAUCAUAAAAUAGAAAUCUGAGAGCAAUGCAAAUGAAAAACUGAGUAAGACCACACAGAACAUCGAUUACAACCAAAACAAACAAACAAAAAAAUGAAAGCCCACGAUCAUUUAAUCUGGGCUCACAACUCACAAACUGUUAGAAACAGCUAUUACAUUCACAUCAACUUGUUUGCCUUAUAAGGAUACAGGAAAUAUGGUUAAACUCGUUUUCUUUAGAUAGGGCAGAAAACAGUACUUUAUCCCAGGACACUUUUUUAGAAGACACAGCAAAAAUGAGAAUAAAUAAACAUGGGCUCUGUGUUUAGUAUUUUCUCUAAAUAAACCACAAGAUGAAUGGCCACAUAUAUCCAUAAAUUGUAGUUACUUUCUUGUCUCAGUUACAUGAGUUUGGUUCUUCUACUGACUGUCAGAUUAAUUGGUUCUACUUCACUCUGCCUAUGGAAAAAGCAUCAAAAAGGUACCUAAUCAGUAACACUGGAAAAAAAGACAAAACAGAGAUACACUGACUGAAGUGCUCAUAAUCAAGCUAUUAUAGUGCUUUUGUCUGUAUCUAUAUCCUUACCAGCAAACAAGAAUGUAAAAAUCACUUUCAACUGCCUGCCAAGAGACACACCAUUACUUAGGAUCAAUUAGAAGUUCUUUCCACCAAGAAAAUGCUUCAAAACACUAUCUCCCCAAAUACCACACAAUAUCACUUAUAUGUGGAAUCUAAAAUAUGGCACAGAUGAGCCUAUCUAUGGGACAGAAACAGACUCACAAACAUGGAGAGCAGACUGUGGUUGCUGAGGGGGAGGGAAUGGGAUGGACUGAGAGUUUGGGGUUAGUAGAUGCAAACUGUCACAUUUACAAUGGAUAAGCAAUGAGAUCCUGCUGUAUAGCACAGGGAACUAUAUCUAAUCACUUGUGAUAGAACAUGAUAGAAGAUAAUAUGAGAAAAAGAAUGUGUAUAUAUAUGUACGACUGGAUCAAUAUGUUGUAUGGCAGAAAUUCACAGAACAUUGUAAAUCAACUAUAAUAAAAAUUUUUUAAAAAUAAAGAAAAUGGUAACUCCUUUUAUCUUACUAUAGUAAUAACCUUAUAAAGCAACGGAUAUCAUGUGCCCAUGUGUCAGAGAAAUAUCAUAAUGCUAAAUACAAGAAGUCUUUAGAACAUUCUUCAAAGUCAAACAUAAUAUUCACUGCUAUCUAAAGUUUGCUUCCUCCACAUUCUCAAGGAGACUGGAUUCUACUAGUCCCGGAGACAUCUUGCCAAAUGUUGACGAUGCGAAAAAGUACAAGAUGUGAUCAUUGCCCCUUAGAUAUCAUGUCUAGAAUAGCUCCAUUCUAAACACCAAUAGCUCAGGGUGUUUGUUACUAGAUUCAAAACACUAAGGGAGAAGAAAUGGGAAGCGAGGAGCUCUGUGAAAGCUGGUGAGCAGUCACCAAAGCCCCAUCAGAACUGGGUCAUUAAAGAUAUUCUUCCAGGCAGGAAAGUGGGGGAAAGGCAUGUGAAUGUAGAACAGAUAUUAGAGGCAAAGCUGUAGUGCAUGAAAGAAGAGGGUAGGUUCAUACAUGGAGAGUAUGGUCAGGGCUCAGGCUGAGAAGCAGGCUAUGGCCCAAUCACCAAAGGCUUUAUAUGGAAGGCUAACAAAUGGGAAUUUUGAGGGGUGGGUGUGGUGAUGCUUGGAUUGGCAUAUCCAGAAGAUCAAUCUGGCAGCCAAGUGUGGAAGAUGCAUCUCAUGGAAGGAUCCCCAUCUUAAGCUACUGGAUCGAGCUAGGUGAGAAAUGAUGACAGCCUGGUCUGCAGCAAUGGGAUGGAGAAAAGGGAAUGCAUCCAAAAGACAUUCAGCAAGUAGAAUUAGUCAAAUUACUAUAAGUGUGAAAAGUGAUGCCCGUAGCUGAAACUGGAAAAAAAAAAUUAAGAAGGACAUCCGUAGCACAGAAUAUAAAAGGCAAAGUCAGGCAAAAAUAUAAAUUUUUAAAAGUUCUUUGGGAGUUCCCAUCGUGGCUCAGCGGAAAUGAAUCUGACUAAUAUCCAUGAGGACGCAGGUUUGAUCCCUGACCUCACUCAGUGGGUUAAGGAUCUGGUGUUGUUGUGAGCUGUGGUGUAGGUGGCAGAUGUGGCUCGGAUCUGGUGUUGCUGUGGCUGUGAUGUAGGACAGUGGCUAUAGCUCUGAUUCAACUAGCCUGAGAACCUUCAUAUGCUGUGGGGUAUGGUCCUAAAAAGACAAAAAAAAAAAAAAAAAAGUUCUUUAUAAAUAGUUGAUCAUGCAUUUUCUGCCUACAAAGAGGCUACUUUCAGAAAAUAUCAUUUAUUCCCCCUUUUUAAAAAAGAACAUAAAACUUACCCCAGUGGCUUUUCUUUUUAUAAAAGUUGCCCUAUUUGAUGUGCUCGUAUAAACAAUCUCCAACUGUGCCAAAAAGUUUUGGAGCAUCAUUCAACAAUGGAAAUGCUUCAUCUUUGUACCUGAGAUGCUUAAGCACAAGCAAGUUCUCCUAUAAUAUAAAAAAUAAACAUAUCAGAAAUCAACUGGAAACAAAACUCAUCUGCAGGAAGUGCCCAGGCAUUUUUCCAUUAGCUUUUAACACAGGGAAAACAAGAUGGUAAGGUGACAUUGUUUCAUGGUUUUUAAAACCGGUAGCUUCUGCAAGAGAGGCAGCAUCAGAGGAGCCAAAAAUAAGGGAUGCAAUGUGGGAAGUAUGCCUUCUUUCCUACUGUGGAUGCUGUGGUGUGUUGCUCAGAUUUCCUCUUCAGUACUGAGGUGCUUGAUCUUCCAGAAGCAGGGACUGUUGGUGGCCGACAGUUUUCAGUUCAAUUGCUCUUAGCCCCCUUCCCAGGGGCAGCCCCUAUUUAUUGACUGAUUGUUUGGGGUAGGUGGGUAUAAAGCCCUGGCUCCCUUGACUGAAGCUGGGGAGCAUCUCCGAAGGGCCAUCCCUGCUCCAGAGCCCCUACAGGACUAGCUGAGGCCUCUGUUGGAACUGUGGUACAGCUCCUUUCUUCCUCUGC